CGCCAUGUAAACUGUGUUCGUGUCUGUGAUGAUGCUUGAGCCUUGGAGACUAUUUGUCUACCUGGGGCGAACAGCAAGGCGAGGAACCGUGGAGCACAUACUGAGCCGGUGCCCAAAGGCCUUGAAAGAAGACUGCUAAUGCUGGUGACAUGAGAAGAUGCUGAGGCAGAGCGGAUCAUAUCAACCAUCAACAGCAGCAAGCACCUCCGCCCACCUAGGAAGCAUAUUUCUUUCUCAAGAGCAGCCCCAACAACAGUCCAGGGCGCCAAUAGGCCUACUCACUACAGAGACUGUCAGCUGCUUGUGGACGUGGGCAGACAGCUUAAGUUCCCUGACACCAUUACACCAAUAUCACUAUGUCCUGAUGUUGUCCAACUGUCAGAAGACUCAAAGCAGAUGAUCAUGUUUAAACUGACUGUGACAUGGGAAGAGUGGAUCAAGAAGGCCCAUGAGAGGAAGAGGGCCAAAUAUCAGUAGCUGGAUGAGCAGUGUUGAAAGCAGAGAUGGAGAGUUUGCUACAUACUCACAGAAGUGGGAUGUAGAGGCAUUACUGACUGUUCUCUUUGCAGAGCAUGUGCAAUGCUGGGCAUCACAGAGGCUACUGAAAGAGCCUCCACAUGGCUAUGAUCUGUGGGUAUCAAACCUCAAUAGGAUUCAGGAAGCGACCGGAAAUGUGGGUAUCAAAGACGGUCAAGUACCGUAUGUGAUCAUCAAAUGUUUUUUGGGUCUUGUUUACAUAUUCCAUUGAUCAGACAUUUCUCAAUUCAACGUCAUCAUUUUGCCAUUUUUAUAUUGUAUUAUUGUGUUAAACUUCUUACAUGUGUCAGAAGAACUCCAUUGCUGUUUUGUGGAUUUUUCAAUUUUUUUUAUGUAAAAAAGAUUUGAAACAAGAAAUAAUCCAAGGCACUGCUGAGUGUAAAGCCUUUAACGUUACAUGACAGGGUGUUGGCUCAACACGGCAAUGAAUACUUUUAGCUGAAACCUGAUGAAAUAUUAAAGGUUUUUCAUUAUACUCA